rnacentral:sRNA from 1 species
CAAUGCUUCAGCGUAAAAGGAAUGCGCAGGUGAUUUGAGAGAAGCGCCCUCGGGUGAUCACAAACCAAAGUCAUAAGGAAAGAAGCGUGGUCUGAGACUGACGCUUUCGAGCGACCACAGCCAAUGCGACCAUAACCUGAAAGGACGCGCUUUCGAGCGGUAACCCC